rnacentral:lncRNA from 1 species
CCGACAAGAGAAGGAGAAGCCACUGGCCUCCUCGUGGAGGGCAUCCCCCACCCCCGCCCCCCAUCCCCAAGCUUUUGUGUUUGCUGGAGAUCUUGGACGCUCCCCCGGCAAACGGCAUUCAGCAAGGUUAUCGGGCUAGUCACAGCCUUCAAGAAACAAAUAUCUAACACCUCGUUCCCUUUGGCGGUUCAAAAGCCACUGUCACUGGGGUCCACUGGUGGUUUCAAACAAGGCCAUGAUUCAUAUGUCAACGAGAGGAGGAUUUUCAUGAUUUCAUAAUAAAAUGUUGAAACGCUUUGAUCGCAAGUUGUAAGGAGGUGUGAAACAGUGCCUCGGAAACAGACAGAUAUUUGUGUAAGCAUCCUUUAUGUAUUGCCAGUGCGGAAUAAUAACAUAUGAAAGCCCCAACUUACCUCAUCUGCCUGGUACAACCAAGGCAUAAAUAAAGGGGAACAAUGGGAUUACUAUUACUCACUCUCCGAGAGCCAGCGAUAUCACUGUAUCCUUUAUAAUUGCUGGCAAGAAGAUUAAUGUUUUGUUAAAUAUCAGAGCAAGGUCACAAGGGGGCUUGCGGGCCUGUCUAAACAUCUAGUCUUUAAACUCCUUCUCUCUCACUUGCUCAUUUUUGAGGAAAUGAACUUGUAGCGUUUCCUCUAAUUAUGGUGAUUUCUGCUUUUGAAAGCUGGCCUACAUCAUCACCUCGCCCCAAACACACACUCUCUCUCUCUCUCUCUCUCUCUCUCUCUCUCUCUCUCACACACACACACACACACGCGCACACGCACACACACACGCACACCUUCCCCGAAUGAUAUUUGGGGACAGGCUUGAUUUAGCUGCAGCAUAUGGGCAAUGUUGUUAUGAGGCGACCUUGCCCUUUUAACCAACGUGGAUAAUUCAUUGCCUGCCACUGUGGCCUGAAGCAAGGGGCUUGGGCUUAAGAGAUCGACUUUAUUGGGGUCCUCAGGGGGCUCCCUACCGAAGACUGCUAUCAUCGUCCGCCGUGCUUCUGUUAUGUUUAGCCCGUACACCCGUCCACGCAGAUGUUUCCAACAGCAAACAGUUCGUGACCCAGAAAGAACAAAAUAUUUUGGCUUUUCCCAGCUUUCAACACCUGUUCAAACCAAAGAGGCUUCGGAGCUCUGUGCACACACCAGAAAGCCCAGCCAGCAACUGGCGAGAGGCCGCUUCAUGGCCGGAGCCAACCUAUGACUCAGUGGCAAACCCAAGAGCCUUCCCGCAGUGACCCUUAACGCCCAGAUCUUACAGAACGACCCAUCAUCUUCAUGCUGAAGGAUCUAUCAUGUGUAUCUGUCAGUGUAUCUCUACCACAUCAAAAAUUAACCCGGGAAGUCCACAAGCAUCCCUCUGUCGUUUUGUUCUACGUUUUUCAGGGCAGGGUCAUGGCCUUGUACAACACUGGGCUCCGGGUAUUUGCCGUUUGUCCGGUUUCUGCGGGCUGGCGGUUGACUUUGGAAGUCCUUCUGGACUGAGUGAUUGAGGACAGCACCCCGGGCGUGGUGGUGGACGGUCUUUAGAGUUUCCCAAAGGGAACCAGCGACAACACUGAGAAGGCUCGGGGUCGACAGGAACAUCUUACAAAUAAUGGCUAAGAACACAGUAGAAGGCAGGAAGGGGAACCUUACAAAAAGCAAGAGGAUUGCCAGGGGGGUGCAGGGCCCUGGCUCUGGGGCCUGCUGAUCUCCCCGCUCCACACCUUGUGCCUGGGCAAAGGCUCCAUUAGUUGCAGCCCCAAUUUUAAGAUUUGCUUAUCUGUUUGUUUUUCCUCCUUGCGGCUCAGGGAGGAGUUAAGAAGUAAAAGAGACAGCUUGGAAUGAAGGUAGGUGUAGAAGGCAAUUCAAUGUGAAAGAGGGGAUGUCCUGACUUCGGGGACUUGCCUUACCUUCCUUCACUAAUCUCAGCGACAGUCACAGGUGUAGGAACAGCCGCGAUUACCUCUUGCCUCAGCAUGAAACAAAAGCCCCACCUCUGUAGAUGUCUGUGCCUCGUUUACACUGUAGACCCUCAACAGCACGCGUUUGAAUCA